GUGCCAGCAGCCGCGGUAAUACGGAGGGGGCAAGCGUUGUUCGGAAUCAUUGGGCGUAAAGGGCGCGUAGGCGGCCGAACAAGUCGGGUGUGAAAUCCCUCGGCUCAACCGAGGAACUGCACUCGAUACUGUUUGGCUAGAGUCCGGGAGGGGAUGGUGGAAUUCCCAGUGUAGCGGUGAAAUGCGUAGAUAUUGGGAAGAACACCGGUGGCGAAGGCGGCCAUCUGGACCGGCACUGACGCUGAGGCGCGAAAGCCAGGGGAGCGAAUGGGAUUAGAUACCCUUGUAGUCC
rnacentral:rRNA from 1 species